GAAUAUUGGACAAUGGACGAAAGUCUGAUCCAGCCAUGCCGCGUGCAGGAUGACUGCCCUCUGGGUUGUAAACUGCUUUUAUAUGGGAAGAAAAACUCCUACGUGUAGGGGCUUGACGGUACCAUACGAAUAAGGAUCGGCUAACUCCGUGCCAGCAGCCGCGGUAAUACGGAGAAUCCAAGCGUUGUCCGGAUUUAUUGGGUUUAAAGGGUACGCAGGCGGGAUAUUAAGUCAGUGGUGAAAGCCUACAGCUCAACUGUAGAAUUGCCAUUGAAACUGAUAUUCUUGAGUAUGGUUGAGGUGGUUGGAAUAUAUCAUGUAGCGGUGAAAUGCAUAGAUAUGAUAUAGAACACCAAUUGCGAAGGCAGAUCACUAAACCAUUACUGACGCUCAUGUACGAAAGCGUGGGGAGCGAACAGGA
rnacentral:rRNA from 1 species